rnacentral:lncRNA from 1 species
AGGGGAAGCACCCGGGACCUCCUUGGCUUCUUCUGGGAGUCUAGUUUCACCUAUUUCGUUUCGCCAACAGGCGAGACGGGCAAGACUUCGGGCUCAGCUGCCACCAUCAGUACUGACCUGUCCAUGGCUAAAGCCUUUUCCACACACAACCAAAGUUGGCUGCAGUUUAGCUACCGCGUUUUAGCCUUCCCGCUCUCCGGAAGCAAGCCCUUCGACCCGGAAGCAGUCUGUCCCUAAAACAGACCCACAGAAAAGGGGUAGGGGAGAAGAAACAACGUUCCCAUCUAGCGCAUGCGCGACUUCAGCCUACAGGUGCACGCCCGGUGGGCGCAGGCGCAAAAGUUUGCCAAUGUGUUCCUGGUUGCGUUUAGCCCAGACGCCCUGCGGCCGCUUUGCCUGACCAAAGUCUGUGGGCGUGGAACAGGCCCUGGGUUCUCCUACUGGGAAGAAUGAAGUAUGUUGAUAGUCUGGAAAAAUGUGAAGUCAUUUCCUGGUUCAGGUACUCCAUGUGAUAUAUGGUUCCACAAUCCUCAGCGUGUUAACUGAAGCCUUGUUGAGUUUAACAAAGCUGCCAUUGAAGAUCUGGGGAAAGUGAAGAAGUUGCAACAGAGUUUUGGGCUCACACCAUUGAUA